rnacentral:rRNA from 1 species
AUUGAACGCUGGCGGCAGGCCUAACACAUGCAAGUCGAGCGGCAGCGGGAAAGUAGCUUGCUACUUUUGCCGGCGAGCGGCGGACGGGUGAGUAAUGCCUGGGAAAUUGCCCAGUCGAGGGGGACAACAGUUGGAAACGACUGCUAAUACCUAAUACGCCCUACGGGGGAAAGCAGGGGACCUUCGGGCCUAGCGCGAUUGGAUAUGCCAAGGUGGGAUUAGCUAGUUGGUGAGGUAAUGGCUAACCAAGGCGACGAUCCCUAGCUGGUAUGAGAGGGUGAUCAGGCGCACUGGAACUGAGACACAGUCCAGACUCCUACGGGAGGCAGCAGUGGGGAAUAUUGCACAAUGGGGGAAACCCUGAUGCAGCCAUGCCGCGUGUGUGAAGAAGGCCUUCGGGUUGUAAAGCACUUUCAGCGAGGAGGAAAGGUUGAUGCCUAAUACGUAUCAACUGUGACGUUACUCGCAGAAGAAGCACCGGCUAACUCCGUGCCAGCCGCCGCCGUAAGAC